CAAUAGCGUAUAUUAAAGUUGUUGCAGUUAAAAAGCUCGUAGUUGAAUUUCUGGCGGGCGCGCCGGUCUUCCAAGUGUUGUACUGGGCGCAGUCCGCCAUCCUUGUGGGGAGGGCUCGCAUUGAGUUGCGUGUCGGAUCUGCAUCAUUUACUGUGAAAAAAUUAGAGUGUUUAAAGCAGGCUGUCGCUUGAAUACAUUAGCAUGGAAUAAUAAGAUAGGACUUCGGUCUAUUUUGUUGGUUGCGAACCGAGGUAAUGAUUAAUAGGGAUAGUUGGGGGUAUUCAUAUUUAAUUGUCAGAGGUGAAAUUCUUGGAUUUAUGAAAGAUGAACAACUGCGAAAGCAUUUACCAAGGAUGUUUUCAUUAA
rnacentral:rRNA from 1 species